AACUGUGGAGGGCCCCACCAGCAU
rnacentral:misc_RNA from 1 species